rnacentral:lncRNA from 1 species
AACUUUGGAUAAAUAUAGCAUUGCUAGUUAAGCAUUAUGUAGCACUCUAUAUUCUCAAAGUGCUGUACAAAUUAAGUAGUUAAUUUUUCAUAAGAUGCUCAUAAGGUAGGUGGAUAAACACUAUCUCCAUUUUAUAGAGGGAUACUAAAGAAUAGAAGUUUUGACUUGCCCAAUGCAUCACAUCCUGCUGAUAUCAGACCCUGGGACAGUACUCAGUGUUCCUGGCUCUUAGCCUGGUGCUCUGUGCAUGACCGCACGGUGUCUCAGUGUGAAUGUGAUCGAGCAGAGGACUGUCGGUCAUAUUGAAGGUAGACUCCAGCUAAAAGCAGUAUAGAUAAAUCUGUUUUCCUUGAGUACUCCUCACACUGCUAAAUACUGGUCAAGUAAAUUAAAUUACAAUGGAUUUGUUACUAUAAUGUUUGCAGAACUAGCGAUAGAAGGAGGACUUCAAAAUAAUCAACUGAUGGGAGAUGCCAAGUGAAUAGUGCUCUUGAAUCAUGAUGUCUGAUCAGUGUGUAACGGAAGUAUUCAGCUACUAUCCAAGGUAUUCUGGAUGGCAUGGACGAGGAGAAGAGGAAAGAGACAAAGCCUGGCUCGUAUUUGGACAUUGUUGGGCUGAGGACUGUAAUCGAUCCCCCUUCUGCCCCAGCGCUAGAGUAUGCUGAGGAGCAGCUGUACAAGCUGAGAUGACACUUGAUUUUGAGUUAAAGUGUAUUAUAGUGGCGUGGCAGCACCCAUACAGUCACAACACAGAAAGAGGAGGAGGAGGAAGAGAGAGAAAGAGAAAACUAAAAACCCUGAAGGAUGGUUCUCAAAAAUUCGAAAGGAACCACAGGGAAUUCCUUUUAAGAGCAACAGAAAGCGAGCCAGCUGAGAUUUCAGAAUUGCCAUCCUCCCUGCCAACAUGUCAUGAACAAGAAAAAAAAAAUUGCAUGAAAAAUCUAAUGGGUGUCUGGUCUGAUUGUCCUCACUCGUGGCAGGAAAGACAAAAACUGAUGAAUUGUGAAAUGUAUUCAGAGGGAUUCAAGAAAAGCAAGUGUCUAGGACCCCCCUCCUCACCAACACCUCCUCGUUUUCAUCUUGUUAUGCUUGAUGCGCCAUACAUGCUUGCCCUGACACUUGGGUUUGUAGAAAUUUAAGAUUAACAGUUUUUACAUUCACCCUGCUGAUCCCCCCCCCCUUUUAAAGUCAUCAUUAAAAAUAAAGUUAGCAGGGCUUAUAUUUAGCA